rnacentral:misc_RNA from 1 species
UCUUUGCAAAAAAAAAAAAAAGCUAUUUUCUGUAGUCCAGUAAUGAUCGAUCUUUCUCUUCUGGAAUCGUUGCUGUGUUCAUGGAUGAUUGUAUCUAAUGUCUAUCGUUACUAUCUAUUCUCUAUUGUCUGCUUCUAUAAUUGAAUUCCAUUUCUUUCAAAUUUUUGCCCUUUCUAUUAGCUCAAUUGUAUUUUGUGUGUAUGUGUGUGUGUG